rnacentral:rRNA from 1 species
AAGCGGAUUGCGUUGGAUUGAUGGGCGCUUGUGUGUUCAGCCUUUAUGGUGCAUUGGCACAAGUGCUUAUCCGCUGUGAGUUCUCGGGGGUCGAUUUUGGAUCCCUGGGGACUGAGGGCUCCCUUUUUGGUGAGGACAGCGGAGUGACGACGCGAUACGACCCGUCUUGAAACACGGACCAAGGAGUCUAGCGCGGGUGCGAGUCAGAGGGUGCAAGCCCGUGGGCGAAGUGAAAGCGAGUGUAAAAACUAGCAGUUUGGGGCGGCAUAAGAUCGUUGAUCUCAAGACCGACCCAGAGCAGUUGCGCUGGGACCCGAAAGAUGGUGAACUAUGCCGGAGUAGGGCAAAGCCAGAGGAAACUCUGGUGGAGGCUCGUAGCGGUGCUGACGUGCAAAUCGCUCGUCGAACUUGGGUAUAGGGGCGAAAGACUAAUCGAACCAUCUAGUAGCUGGUUCCCUCCGAAGUUUCUCUCAGGAUAGCGGGCCGACAAGUUGUUUUGUGCGGUAAAGCGAAUGAUUAGCGCAAUCGGGGGCGUUUAGCCUUCGGGCGAUUCUCAAACUUUCAAUGCGCAAGGGUGCCGCUGCUUAAUUGAGCGGUACCGAUAAAAACGUCGGCCCUGUGGGCCACUUUUGGUAAGCAGAACUGGCGAUACGGGAUGAACCGUAAGCAAGGUUAAGGCGCCAAACUGCCCGCUUAUAGACCCCACAAAAGGUGUUGAUUCAUCGAGACAGCAGGACGGUGGCCAUGGAAGUCGGAAUCCGCCAAGGAGUGUGUAACAACUCACCUGCCGAAUGAAUUAGCCCUGAAAAUGGAUGGCGCUGAAGCGGGCGGCCGACACCUUGCCGUCUGGACAAGAAUUUCAGAUGAGUAGGAGGGCGUGGCGGCCGUGUCGAAGCGCGCGUGCAGACGCGUGUGGAACGGCCGCUAGUGCAGAUCUUGGUGGUAGUAGCAAGUAUUCAAGCGAGAUCCUUGAAGGGCGAAGUGGGGAAGGGUUUCACGCGAACAUUGAUUGGGCGUGAGUGAGUCGUUCCUAAGCCGAGUGGCAAUUGCUAAUUAACGGCGAAAGGGAAGCGGGUUGACAUUCCCGCACACGGAUGUGGAGGCGGCGACGCAUUAUUGGGGCGAACACGCUGGCGAUGGCGCUGGGCAGAGUUGACUUUUCUGUUUGACCGCUUGCGCACGCAGUGUGGAAUCCGCUGUCGGGAGAAACACGCGUGUACGGGCAGAGCGCUGGGGCUUUUCCAGCGUCCAGCUCGCCAUCGACGGCCCUUGAAACUUUGCCUGCUGAUUUAAGAUCCACGCCGUGGCGUACCGAUCACCGCAUCAGGUCCCCAAGGUGAACAGCCUCUGCUCAAUAUGAAAAAUGCAGGUAAGGGAAGUCGGCAAAUUANACCCGUAACUUUGGGAAAAGGGUUGGCUCUAGUGCUGCGUGGGAGUGGUUGUCGGUUGUUGGCGUUUCUGGUGUGGCGGCUUGGCGCGGGGCCCUUUUUGGGACCUGUUCCUGCUGCUACGCUGGUGGCGGCGCGGCCGACGACGCCCACAGCAUGCAGCAGACUAGAACUGCAACGGGCAAAGGGAAUCCGACUGUUUAAUUAAAACAAAGCAUUGC